AUUGAACGCUGGCGGCAUGCUUUACACAUGCAAGUCGAACGGCAGCGCGGGCUUCGGCCUGGCGGCGAGUGGCGAACGGGUGAGUAAUACAUCGGAACGUGCCCAGUAGUGGGGGAUAGCUCGGCGAAAGCCGGAUUAAUACCGCAUACGACCUGAGGGUGAAAGCGGGGGAUCUUCGGACCUCGCGCUAUUGGAGCGGCCGAUGGCAGAUUAGCUAGUUGGUGGGGUAAAGGCCUACCAAGGCGACGAUCUGUAGCUGGUCUGAGAGGACGACCAGCCACACUGGGACUGAGACACGGCCCAGACUCCUACGGGAGGCAGCAGUGGGGAAUUUUGGACAAUGGGCGAAAGCCUGAUCCAGCAAUGCCGCGUGUGUGAUGAAGGCCUUCGGGCUGUAAAGCACUUUUGGCGGGAACGAAAAGGACUGUGCCAAUACCACGGUUCGAUGACGGUACCCGCAGAAUAAGCACCGGCUAACUACGU
rnacentral:rRNA from 1 species